rnacentral:rRNA from 1 species
AACGCGAAGAACCUUACCUACCCUUGACAUGCCAGGAACUUUCCAGAGAUGGAUUGGUGCCUUCGGGAGCCUGGACACAGGUGCUGCAUGGCUGUCGUCAGCUCGUGUCGUGAGAUGUUGGGUUAAGUCCCGCAACGAGCGCAACCCUUGUCCCUAGUUGCCAGCACGUAAUGGUGGGAACUCUAGGGAGACUGCCGGUGACAAACCGGAGGAAGGUGGGGAUGACGUCAAGUCCUCAUGGCCCUUACGGCCAGGGCUACACACGUACUACAAUGGUCGGUACAGAGGGUUGCGAAGCCGCGAGGCGAAGCCAAUCCCAGAAAACCGAUCCCAGUCCGGAUCGGAGUCUGCAACUCGACUCCGUGAAGUCGGAAUCGCUAGUAAUCGCGAAUCAGCUAUGUCGCGGUGAAUACGUUCCCGGGUCUUGUACACACCG